CCAGGGCCAGAAGUCAGAAAUAAGGCUGAAAUUGGGCGGGCACGGUGGCUCAUGCCUGUGAUCCCAGCAUUUUGGGAGGCUGAGGUGGGUGGAUCACGAGGUCUAGAGUUCAAGACAAGCCUGGAAAAUAUGGUGAAACCCCGUCUCUACUGAAAAUACAAAAAUUAGCUGGGCAUGGUGGGGUGCUAAGGCAGCGGGGAGAGGCUUUGAUGGCAGCUGAGAUACGGGGAAGAUGCCUUUGCACUGGACACCUCCACGGCCUCCCUGCCUCCUGGGGGACCUCAGGCUGUUUCGAGUCACCCAGGGCUCUUGCAUCCUGCCUGCCUUCGUCCCC
rnacentral:lncRNA from 1 species